GAACUUGGUUUUGGUACCAUAUGUUUAUUUCAGUGCAGUAUUUGUUUUAUUCGAUUGCAGUUAAUUUAAAUUAGUUAGUACAGGUAGCCUAAUGAAAGUGGGCCAGGCACUUCUAGCAUUUACGCUAAGCCCGGUGUAUUUACACUGUUUAUUCUUGUGCUGAUUCAAUUGUACACCGUUUCAAUGAAAAAAACAAACAAACGUUUGCAAUGAAAUUAUAGCAGAAUUCAGCUUUGUUGGUACAUUUGGUCAAGACAAUAUUGUGUUACUCUAUUUUAAUUUUACAUUGUUAUCUGCCUGACAAAUGGUUUGCCCGAAUCUAUUAGUCUGACCAGCAAAUGUUUGAUGAAAUGAAUUUUUGUAUUUUUGAGGAAGAAAAUAAUAUUCCUUUGGUUCAGUACUUUUUGAGCCAAAAUAAGUGCUGCCAUAAUAUUGUGCUUGCUUGUCUGGCUGACUUCUUCUCACUUUCCAUUGUAGAUGUUUACUGGUGGUGAUAAUGUCACAAAGAAGAACCAGACUGAGCCCUGAAUCUGAGGCUGCUCCUUUUAUCUGGAGUCAACAAGCCUUGUUUGAAAGCCCAGUGGAUCAAUGAUUAUAAAGACACCAAGUGACGGGAUCUUGACUGAACCUUCUGGAGACCAAGAAGGGAGUGAGAGAUCCACUUCAUCCUUACAACAGACACCAAGUGACCUGACUGAACCCUCUGGAGACCAUGAAUGGAGUGAGAUAUCCACUUCAUUCUUACAACAGACACCAAGUGACCUGACUGAACCCUCUGGAGACCAUGAAUGGAAUGAUAGAUACACUUCAUCCUUACAACAGACAUCAAGUGACAGGUACCUGACUGAACCCUCUGGAAACCAAGAAUGGAGUGAGAGAUCCACUUCAUCCUUACAACAG